UUUGCGUCGAAGGUAUACCGGUAAGGAGUGCUGGAGCGAAUAGAAGUGAGCAUGCAGGCAUGAGUAGCGAUAAUUAAUGUGAGAAUCAUUAACGCCGUAAACCCAAGGUUUCCUACGCGAUGCUCGUCAUCGUAGGGUUAGUCGGGUCCUAAGUCGAGUCCGAAAGGGGUAGACGAUGGCAAAUUGGUUAAUAUUCCAAUACCAACAUUAGUGUGCGAUGGAAGGACGCUUAGGGCUAAGGGGGCUAGCGGAUGGAAGUGCUAGUCUAAGGUCGUAGGAGGUUAUACAGGCAAAUCCGUAUAACAAUACUCCGAGAACUGAAAGGCUUUUUGAAGUCUUCGGAUGGAUAGAAGAACCCCUGAUGCCGUCGAGCCAAGAAAAGUUUCUAAGUUUAGCUAAUGUUGCCCGUACCGUAAACCGACACAGGUGGGUGGGAUGAGUAUUCUAAGGCGCGUGGAAGAACUCUCUUUAAGGAACUCUGCAAAAUAGCACCGUAUCUUCGGUAUAAGGUGUGGUUAGCUUUGUAUUAGGAUUUACUCCGAAAGCAAGGAAACUUACAACAAAGAGUCCCUCCCGACUGUUUACCAAAAACACAGCACUCUGCUAACUCGUAAGAGGAUGUAUAGGGUGUGACGCCUGCCCGGUGCUCGAAGGUUAAUUGAUGGGGUUAGCAUUAGCGAAGCUCUUGAUCGAAGCCCGAGUAAACGGCGGCCGUAACUAUAACGGUCCUAAGGUAGCGAAAUUCCUUGUCGGUUAAAUACCGACCUGCAUGAAUGGCGUAACGAGAUGGGAGCUGUCUCAAAGAGGGAUCCAGUGAAAUUGUAGUGGAGGUGAAAAUUCCUCCUACCCGCGGCAAGACGGAAAGACCCCGUGGACCUUUACUACAGCUUGACACUGCUACUUGGAUAAGAAUGUGCAGGAUAGGUGGGAGGCUUUGAGUAUAUGACGCCAGUUGUAUAUGAGCCAUUGUUGAGAUACCACUCUUUCUUAUUUGGGUAGCUAACCAGCUUGAGUUAUCCUCAAGUGGGACAAUGUCUGGUGGGUAGUUUGACUGGGGCGGUCGCCUCCCAAAUAAUAACGGAGGCUUACAAAGGUUGGCUCAGAACGGUUGGAAAUCGUUCGUAGAGUAUAAAGGUAUAAGCCAGCUUAACUGCAAGACAUACAAGUCAAGCAGAGACGAAAGUCGGUCUUAGUGAUCCGGUGGUUCUGUGUGGAAGGGCCAUCGCUCAAAGGAUAAAAGGUACCCCGGGGAUAACAGGCUGAUCUCCCCCAAGAGCUCACAUCGACGGGGAGGUUUGGCACCUCGAUGUCGGCUCAUCGCAUCCUGGGGCUGGAGCAGGUCCCAAGGGUAUGGCUGUUCGCCAUUUAAAGCGGUACGCGAGCUGGGUUCAGAACGUCGUGAGACAGUUCGGUCCCUAUCUGCCGUGGGCGUAAGAAGAUUGAAGAGAUUUGACCCUAGUACGAGAGGACCGGGUUGAACAAACCACUGGUGUAGCUGUUGUUCUGCCAAGAGCAUCGCAGCGUAGCUAAGUUUGGAAAGGAUAAACGCUGAAA
rnacentral:rRNA from 1 species